rnacentral:rRNA from 1 species
UACACGACCGUACCGCAAACCGACACUGGUGCGCGAGAUGAGUAUUCUAAGGCGCUUGAGAGAACUCAGGAGAAGGAACUCGGCAAAUUGACACCGUAACUUCGGAAGAAGGUGUGCCUUUAGUAGGUGAACCUGUACAAGGGGAGCCCAAUGAGGUUGCAAAAAAUCGGUGGCUGCGACUGUUUAAUAAAAACACAGCACUCUGCAAACACGAAAGUGGACGUAUAGGGUGUGACGCCUGCCCGGUGCUGGAAGAUUAAAUGAUGGGGUGCAAGCUCUUGAUUGAAGUCCCAGUAAACGGCGGCCGUAACAAUAACGGUCCUAAGGUAGCGAAAUUCCUUGUCGGGUAAGUUCCGACCUGCACGAAUGGCGUAACGAUGGCCACACUGUCUCCUCCUGAGACUCAGCGAAGUUGAAAUGUUUGUGAUGAUGCAAUCUCCCCGCGGAAAGACGGAAAGACCCCAUGAACCUUUACUGUAGCUUUGUAUUGGACUUUGAACAGAUCUGUGUAGGAUAGGUGGGAGGCUUUGAAGUGUGGUCGCUAGAUCGCAUGGAGCCAACGUUGAAAUACCACCCUGGUGUGUUUGAGGUUCUAACCUAGGCCCGUAAUCCGGGUCGGGGACAGUGCAUGGUAGGCAGUUUGACUGGGGCGGUCUCCUCCCAAAGCGUAACGGAGGAGUUCGAAGGUACGCUAGGUACGGUCGGACAUCGUGCUAAUAGUGCAAUGGCAUAAGCGUGCUUAACUGCGAGACUGACAAGUCGAGCAGAUGCGAAAGCAGGACAUAGUGAUCCGGUGGUUCUGUAUGGAAGGGCCAUCGCUCAACGGAUAAAAGGUACUCUGGGGAUAACAGGCUGAUACCGCCCAAGAGUUCAUAUCGACGGCGGUGUUUGGCACCUCGAUGUCGGCUCAUCUCAUCCUGGGGCUGUAGCCGGUCCCAAGGGUAUGGCUGUUCGCCAUUUAAAGAGGUACGUGAGCUGGGUUUAAAACGUCGUGAGACAGUUUGGUCCCUAUCUUCCGUGGGCGCUGCAGAUUUGAGGAAGCCUGCUCCUAGUACGAGAGGACCGGAGUGGACACACCUCUGGUGUAUCGGUUGUCACGCCAGUGGCAUUGCCGAGUAGCUAUGUGUGGAAGAGAUAACCGCUGAAAGCAUCUAAGCGGGAAACUCGUUUCAAGAUGAGAUCUGCCGGGGCCUUGAGCCCCCUAAAGAGUCGUUCAAGACCAGGACGUUGAUAGGUCGGGUGUGGAAGCGCAGUAAUGCGUUAAGCUAACCGAUACUAAUUGCUCGUGCGGCUUGACCUA